CUGAGACAGCAGUUGCUGAUACCACAAACACUUGUCUGCUGUUUCUGUGGCCUGGCUGAGCCAAGAAAACAUGUUAAAGCACAGAGCCCACGCAAGACAGUGUGCUUGCAGGAGACCCUACCAACAGGAAUCGGAUAACAAGGAGCUAAAGAGCCUAAUGGGAGGUGACUGGAUCAUGGGAGCAGAGUUCUCUUGGAUGGUUUAGCAUUAUCCCCUUGGCGCUGUCUUUGCGGUACUUCUAGCAAGAUCUGGCUGUUUAAAGUAUUGGCUGGAGUUGGCGAUGACUCAGCAGAUCAAGGCUGGAAGACUCAUUCUCGUCAGGUGGUUGACGUUGGCUGUCAGUUGGAACCUCACCUGGGGCUGUUUGCCAGAACACCUACACAUGGCAUGUCCAUGGAGCUAUUUGACUUCCUCACUGCAAUGGCUGGGUUCCAAGAGCAGUUAUCCCAAGAGAACAAGGCAGAAGUGCAUGACUUUUAGAAUCUUGUCUCACAAGUCACACAGAGUCACUUCCACCAUCCCCUGUUGGUCAAGGAGGACAUGAAGGUCUUCCUAGGAGCACGGGGAGAAGACAGACUUCUACCACCUGUUGGAAGGAGUGUCAGUGUUACAUAGCAAGAGAAGCACAUGGAAUGGGAUGUAUUGUGAUGCCCAUCUUUGGAACAGACAAUUUGGCAUAUCUGUGAAAAUUAAAAGUCUGAUUUGGAUAUAACAAAAAAAAAAAAAAA
rnacentral:lncRNA from 1 species